AAUGCUUCAGGCUACACUGACAGAGCUGAGGAGAGAAGACGCAGUGUGUGUCUGGGGAUGUAAGGAGGAAAAACAAGGCAGGAGAAAGAUCAGUUAGAAGAGGAGGGUGUAAGCCACAGCAGGAAAGGCAGAGCUAAGCCUCAUAUGUACCUCAGACACGCCGCCAUUUUGAGGGUUUAGUCAGUGACUGUUAUGAAGUCCUAGAGCUCAGUAUUUGAUUUCCUCCCCAGGGAAACUGAUAUUUGUCAGCAGGCAGUGGUAAUAGUUGAAGCCAUCUGUUGUUAUUUACGCCCUAAUGCCGACAUCACAACCCACAAGAACAACCUAUCCCCUACUUACAGAAUUGGUGAUAAGUUUCUGACUGCUGGGACAAACCAAAAUCUCGAGAACAGGGACCUGAAUGUCCAGUAAGAAGGAGCAGCGGUCACACGUGCUCAUGGCCACUCUAUUCAUCCUCUAUGGGAGCUGCCUGUGAUAGCCAAGAAAAUUAGAUGCAAGUUAAAUGAAGAGAGACUGAUGGCAUUAACCCUGGAUUUUGCUUCGGACUUGGAAUAUAGCUACAUGAGCUUUAAGUCGGGACAGAGCUGAAAGAAGUGACAAUGGGAAAUGUUUGUUGGGAGUCACUUUUGAAGACCUGCAGCCCUUUCUGGUCAUGGAAUGCAGUAAGGCACUUUGCAGACUUACCCUUGCUGACUCUUGGCAGUGGAUACACAAAGAUUAUUGUAGAACACCUUUUGAUAGGACUGGUAUUCCUAGGACAGUAUUAUUUGCUAGGCUGAAGUUCUGUGCAUCCCAGGGUCUUUAGGCUCUCAUUAUGCACCCCUCACUCUGACUAAACAUCUUACCUUUUAGUGCUUUCUGUCCCAUACAUAUGUGUAGUGGAUUGAAAUCACUUGCUUUUGCCUUGUCAAAAAUAUCCAUUAGGUGUCAUCACAGCACAGAAUGUACAUAUGUAUUAUAAAGAAAAUCCUUAAAAAAAAAAAAAGUAAUGUGGAGUAAUGUGUCCAACAACCGAGUAGUACUAGGAAUUUACACAGUGGAGCACUGCACUUGUAUUAUAGCCACCAAAUUAUCUGUGCAUAUUGGAAUAACUCAAGCCACAUAGUAGGGGGCCCCAAGACACUUGUGGCUCUCGAGCAACUGGUUGGGGAUUACUACUCUGUAGCAUACCAGAUUCUGACUCUAUCCUUACAGGGCCUAUAAGAAUAAAGGGCCUUUUUUAUUGCAGCCUAUAUUCUGCUUAUCAUAAAGCUGUCUGUUUCUGCUGAUAAACUGCUGGGAAGCUUCCAGGAGUUGGAUUUCUUGCCCUACUCUAUUAUUGGAUCAUUACUAUUUAUAGUGGAAUUAGCUGGCAAUCAGCUGUUAUUAUGAUUAGAAGUUGUUUAAGUUGAGUGACCAACCACAUCAUAGGUGACCAGGCCCAAUCCAUCUUACAGGGACAUAAGAUUUGGGUUGUCUUACUAAGUCAGCCCUUUAAUAUAAAAUAAAAUUUGAAUACUGCAUGGCCUGAACCAUAGAUAAGGCAGAUCAAAUUACACUCACACCAAUGGUUGCUUCUCAUCCCAAAAACAGCAAUGACGUUAAUGGAGACUGAAUGGAGGUCCCCGAAUAAGAAUUUAAAUGCAGCACCUUGCCAUAAAGCAUCAUGAUUAGUUAUUCCGGUAGCACAAAAAAAAUGUUUUUGCUACUUAAGGGUACUGUAAAUAUAAAAGAAAGUCAUCCUUAACUGCCCACAUACCCCGCAGAUGCCAUUCUGACGCCUGCUGUUCUCCACUAUUUCCUGGUUCCUGUGACAUGUCAUCCUUGCAGAUACUCCUUAUUUAGCUAGUCACUGGCCCACAUUUAUCAUUGCAGUGCUAGUGAAGCAUUUUUUUACACCUUUUUUUGUGUGUGCUGAUAAUGUGUAAGAGCACCAAAUUUAUUAAAAGGUAAAAGAGCUUUGAUAAAUUUUGUGCAGGUCCACAUUUUCUGAAAUUUCUGUCUACACAUACACCAAACAGCUACACCAUGUCUGGGCUGGUGUAGUUUUAGAGACUUUUCAGUGGCUUUGCGCCUAUUUUUGCUCCUUUUUACAAAAAGGGGCAAUGA